rnacentral:rRNA from 1 species
AGAGUUUGAUCAUGGCUCAGAACGAACGCUGGCGGCAGGCCUAACACAUGCAAGUCGAGCGCUACCUUCGGGUGGAGCGGCGGACGGGUUAGUAACGCGUGGGAACAUACCCUUUUCUACGGAAUAGCCUCGGGAAACUGAGAGUAAUACCGUAUAAGCCCUUCGGGGGAAAGAUUUAUCGGGAAAGGAUUGGCCCGCGUUAGAUUAGAUAGUUGGUGGGGUAAUGGCCUACCAAGUCUACGAUCUAUAGCUGGUUUUAGAGGAUGAUCAGCAACACUGGGACUGAGACACGGCCCAGACUCCUACGGGAGGCAGCAGUGGGGAAUCUUAGACAAUGGGCGAAAGCCUGAUCUAGCCAUGCCGCGUGAGUGAUGAAGGUCUUAGGAUCGUAAAGCUCUUUCGCUAGGGAUGAUAAUGACAGUACCUAGUAAAGAAGCCCCGGCUAACUCCGUGCCAGCAGCCGCGGUAAUACGGAGGGGGCUAGCGUUGUUCGGAAUUACUGGGCGUAAAGCGUACGUAGGCGGAUCAGAAAGUAUGGGGUGAAAUCCCAGGGCUUAACCCUGGAACUGCCUCAUAAACUCCUGGUCUUGAGUUCGAGAGAGGUGAGUGGAAUUGCGAGUGUAGAGGUGAAAUUCGUAGAUAUUCGCAGGAACACCAGUGGCGAAGGCGGCUCACUGGCUCGAUACUGACGCUGAGGUACGAAAGUGUGGGGAGCAAACAGGAUUAGAUACCCUGGUAGUCCACACCGUAAACGAUGAAUGCCAGUCGUCGGGCAGUAUACUGUUCGGUGACACACCUAACGGAUUAAGCAUUCCGCCUGGGGGAGUACGGUCGCAAGAUUAAAACUCAACGAACUUGACGGGGGCCCGCACAAGCGGU